rnacentral:miRNA from 1 species
UGGUGCAAAAGUAAUUGUGGCUUUUGCCAUUCAAUGUAAAUUAAAUGUAAAUGGCAAAAACCGCAAUUACUUUUGCACCA